rnacentral:lncRNA from 1 species
UCUUCAUUGAAGCCGAUUUAAUAUCAUUCUUGCUAUUCUUAAUCAGUUUUAAAUUUGAAACAAUGAUUUCCAGGUUUCCAAAAGUCUACAAAUUUGCCUCUAUUAAAGAACGCUGUCAAUCAUUGUUCAAAAAAUAUCAAAACCGACCGAGUUCUAUGUAUAUACAAUUUAACAAUCAAUGUCUGAAAAAUCUGUAAGACAUUUUCAAAGCAUUAAAAAGGCUAUCAUAAUUACAAGAAUAUGGUUCUUAAAUUAUAACAGAUCCAAGAAAAACUUAAAAACAAAUAGUUUUAUCGAUUACUUAUGAAGCGGAAACUCGUCAAAGACUGAUUGGUCCGAGCAGGGUAUGUAAAUGGUACCCUGUCUUUCAAGAAAAUUUUAAAUAAGGAGAAACUCGGUCGAAUAAUCAAUCUUACAAUAUUAUGCUCUUUACUGACUAUGAACAAAAUUAUACGCUUUCAUCUAACUUUCGAAUUCGUUGAUUAUUUCAACAAUUCAAUUUCAUGAACCCUUUUAAUAAAA